UCUCUCUCUCUCUCCCUCUCUCGCGUACUUGUUGCUGCUUCUUCUCUCCUUUUUGUGGAUCGAUCCGAGAGAAACUCAGCGAUCAUGUUGGUCUAUCAGGAUUUGCUUACCGGUGAUUUCCUAAUAUUUAUUUUGAUUUUGAUUUAUAUUUGUGUUUCUGAAUUCAUUGUCUUAGAUCUCGUUUUGAUUGUUUUGGGUUCUUCAUCAUGGUAUUUUGUUUUAGAUUUUGGAUCCAAUACUUGUUUUUAUUGUUGUGUAUAUGGGGAUCUGUAGCUUUCUGGCAUAUUUGGUUCAUUUUAUUAUUAUUAUUUUUUCGUUUGGGUGAGUGAUUCUGAUUCGCGGUUUUCCUUGUUUCUCAAUGAAUUUGCUUUUUCGUUGGAGAACAGUAAGAGUGUGGAGUACCUCAUCUUUUAGCUGUAAAAAUUAGCGAAAUUUCGUGUUCUGUUUUUAAGAUUUUGUUGUCAAUUGAUGGGAUUUACCACAUGUUAAGGAUUUGUUGCUGGCUGAUUGGAUUUUACCGUCAAUUUUAGGAUUUUUUCAUGCUGGUGAUGUUUGUUUUUUCUUGUUCUUAUCUCGUUUUAUCUAUACAUCAUAUAACCCAUUUAGUUUUGCUUGCGGAUGCUUUGUUUAUAGUCUUCCUUUGCAUGCUCUAGUAGUCUAGUUUUUUCCUUUUUAAUUAGUAUAAGUCUUCUUGCAUUGAUUUGGAAUUGCCUUCACGAUACUAAUAUAGUAACUAAAAACUAAACCAGUAACUUACCAUAUACUACCAAAACUCAUGUAUGCCUUGAAGUUUUACUCUGGUCCCUGGCUCACUAGGUUGCCUUAUACACUUGAGAGAUUAUAUAGUUUACUUUGAAAGGAAAUUGUCAAUUUUUGACUUUCUUUGGAUAGUAUAGAUGUUGACCACAUAAAUUUUGUUUAUGAAUUUCAGGUGAUGAGCUUCUCUCUGACUCGUUCCCAUACAAGGAAAUUCAUAAUGGCAUUCUGUGGGAAGUUGAGGGGAAGUGGGUUGUUCAAGGGGCUGUUGAUGUAGACAUUGGUGCAAAUCCUUCUGCUGAGGGUGGAGAAGAAGAUGAGGGUGUUGAUGACCAAGCUGUUAAAGUGGUUGACAUAGUUGACACAUUUAGGCUCCAGGAGCAACCUGCUUUUGACAAGAAACAGUUUGUCACCUACAUGAAGAGGUAUAUCAAGUUGUUGACACCUAAGCUGGACGAGGAGAAGCAAGAGUCUUUCAAGAAAAACAUUGAGGGAGCAACCAAGUUCCUGCUCUCGAAGCUCAGUGACCUCCAAUUUUUUGUGGGGGAGAGCAUGCAUGAUGAUGGCAGUCUUGUUUUUGCUUACUACAAGGAAGGUGCCACUGACCCAACAUUUUUGUACUUUGCCUAUGGUUUGAAGGAGAUCAAGUGCUAAGGGUGGAUAGAUAGCUUCUCGAAGUGGAAGUUCUUGCUGUAAUUCAAGUUUUUAUCUUUGUACCCUUUUCAUUUGGUGCUUCAUGCCUCCUAUUUUGGUUUGAUUGCAGUUGAUGAUUAAACUAUAAGAUGUUUUUCUAUCUCAUUGGGUACUAAUAUUGUGGUUGACAAAUAAUUUGAUCUUUUGUUGUGGGUGUAUUAUAAAUUUAUCAGCAAGUGGGUAAUUAGUUUGUAUCGAUGCCAUUUUGGUCUCUUCCCUUCUGUGGAAGAUAUGUGAAUUUAUAUCUAUUUCACUGCUUCGCUGACAACAUGAUCUAUCCUGUGGAGCUUGAUAGGUUGGUUAUGACCAUGGCCAUGCGAUUUUUACCUUUGAUAGUUGCAAAAUUCUUGUGUCAGAGUAGCAGCUGAAAGUAUAUGAUUAGGAGGGUGUCUUGUAUCUUACAUCUGUUAGUUUAGUAGAUAAAAUUUUCCUAUUCUACCGCUUGCUCCAAUAGGCCUUGAUUUAUAAGUUAUAGCAUUUGUUUGUGUUUAGCGUUAGAGCUUACUAGAUUGAAAAUUCCAUUUGAUGAUGCCUUAAAAAGUGCAAGGCUUGUAAUUGGGCCACGCAGUCAUCAGGAGGGAGGUGAAAUAGCUUUAUUAAUGUUUGGGCUUCUUCACGAUCAGCAGGUUAUGGUGAGCGUUGGGGGCAUGGUGGUCGCUAACGCUGCCCCAAAG
rnacentral:misc_RNA from 1 species